ensembl:rRNA 5S_rRNA 5S ribosomal RNA
GUCUACGGCCAUACCACCCUGAACGCACCCGAUCUCGUCUGAUCUCAGAAGCUAAGCAGGGUCGGGCCUGGUUAGUAUUUGGAUGGGAGAAGCCACAGGCUGGGAGAAA